UUAUGUAUAACCUUAUCUCUUUGGCAAAAAGCAAUGUAAAUGAGAAAAAUCCAUUACAUUGCUUUUUGCCAAAGAGAUAAGGUUAUACAUAA